rnacentral:rRNA from 1 species
UAACCUGCCUUGUAGCGGGGGAUAACUAUUGGAAACGAUAGCUAAUACCGCAUAACAAUGGAUGACACAUGUCAUUUAUUUGAAAGGGGCAAUUGCUCCACUACAAGAUGGACCUGCGUUGUAUUAGCUAGUAGGUGAGGUAACGGCUCACCUAGGCGACGAUACAUAGCCGACCUGAGAGGGUGAUCGGCCACAUUGGGACUGAGACACGGCCCAG